AUGCGAGCAGUUUUCUUAUCACUCGUCGGCGUUCCUCUCUCCACCGGACCCUUCCUAUCUCGCUAUUGCGGAGGCGGCGGCAGCGACGACGCCGGAGGGACGACCAGGAGGCGAUGGCUACCUCCCUCGUGUGUGGAGUAUUUCCCUUUCCCUCUCUCAUGCGGCAGCGAUUUGGAGGCGACGUGGGCGCUGCAAAGGUCCGGCGCAAGCUCGGCUGCGACAACGGACUUCUCCGAUGCCCCUCUCCACAAUUGGCGGUCCUCUCGCCGGCAAAUGAGGAUUGAAAUUCUGCCAAGAAAUCUCAGAGCAGAAGAUGUUUGCAAGGGACUUGGGAGACGAGGCAAUGCUGCGCAGGCGAGAAAAUGGCAAGUACGUUGUACUCACGGUUAG
rnacentral:rRNA from 1 species